GAAACACAUUUGGUAACAUUUUGUAGCCAGUUUAUUGCAUUUGAUUUUUUAUAUAUAUUCCUUUGGGUGAUGGCUCUUGUUUUCUGUCAUCGUCCCAAUUUUUGCAGUGAUUGAUUCAAUGUUUUGAAGUCUUAAUGUCAAGGUACUUAUUUAGCUUCAGUUUCAUGUGUGAAUGUACGGCUAGGAUUGCUUUUUUUGAGAAAUCACGUGCUCGCUUGUAGACAAUGCUUAUGUCUUUAGAAAAAAAGGACAUCAUGAAAUUUCUCAGCAUUUCUUUCAUUUUUAGUGUCAUUAUUGUAUUUAAUGUUUGCAGAGACACAGAAAUGAAUCUUCUGACACCAAUGGUGGAAGAUCUAACCCUUCUUAAUAAGAAAUAGCACCAGUCUGAGAGCACGUUUUCACAGCUGAAUGCAGAGAUUGUUGAGCAGAAUGAAUUAAGAGAAAAGGAACUGCCACUUGUUCAGGAUGUAGAAGCUAAAGUUAAAGAACGAACCCAGAUCAUUCCUGGUCUUAACAAUCAUCAAAUGUCCUUGUAAGCUUCUAUGAAAAAAUGAAGGAGAAGGCCAAAGAAAUGCAUGAAAAGGGGACAAAAGCCGAGAAGGGAAUGGGUGGCUGACUUGGUAUCAAGAAACAAUGACGCUGUGCGGAGCUUUCCAAUCCAUGUGGGUAGCGUCUCUCUACUGGCGGUUCUCAUCAAUCGCAGUGUUUCGGGCAUACCUCCUGAUGCCAGUAGAGCACAUGAAAAUAGAUUCUUUUGGAGCUACGGACACAUCGAUGCUUCUCAGUUUUGGGUUGUUGGAACCGAUACUUGGUCACGUGAACUGUUGAGAGAGUAAUAUAAAAUAACUGGUGUGAUGGUUGAAUUUGAAGAGAAAUUGAGUCAACGAGGUGGUUGUGGUUUAUCAAGUUCCGUUCAAAAGAUAAAUACGUCUUUGAAGAGAAAUUUACAAACAAUGCGAGAGAAGGUUCGAAGGCAACAAGAUUUGAUGAAACUUCUUUAAAUGCCACUAAGCAAAAGGUUGUAGCUGCCAAGCGAUAUGUAUAGAAGAAUUACAGAGAGCAGAUAAAGGAGCGCUUUAACUUUCGAUAUAUACAUUCAAUGUAUCAGUUUAUAUUAUUUCGAUAUCUUGUUAGAAGGUGGAAGUUUUUGUGUGAUUGGAAUGUCCUGUUGUUUCUCUUAUUUGUAGAAGUAUAUUUUGGUAGCAGUUGCAUUGGACUAUAGAGAUCAGUAGUGUGUGACAAUGGUUAGUUUAAUGCAGAAAGGAAUUUUUGGAACAUGCACAGGUAGAUGGGCUAAUCAAUCGCAUUCUCAUUCAUAGUCAUGGAAUGUACAGAAUCCAAUAGCCUUCGUGAAUGGUAUGUUUGGUUAUAUCUCCAAUGAUUGAAUG